CGACUCUAUCAUGUAUGUUACUGGAUUAUUCUAGAACACAGGUGUCGCCUUCUCCACGUUCGACAAAGUGACAUGAUACAUGGCGAAGGAAGCGGCGACAACGACAGUGUCGUCGCUCAACCCACUGUGUCCCUCCUCUCUUCUUCGAUAAUAACUCGUUUUGUAGCCUUGGUUCGUGGCGCGCUCGACGCGGCUAUCCAGCUUCAGCGGACACCGCUUCAUCGACCUCUUCGGGCUGCCUCCGUCGGUGUCCACCGCCAGCUGCGUCGAGUUCACCGGCUCCCAUGUGGCUUCAUUGGUGUCGGACCUGGCGUCCGCGCUUAAGGAUGUCAGUGCCAAGAGGACAAGACGACCACAACGACAAAGGGAGAAGGUUAGGAGUCUAUUGUCUAGGUGCAUGAACUUUAUCUCUGCUCAACCUUGAACUACUGACCUACUGCCCAGGACCUCGCUCCUACCCCGCGUCUGAUGUCACUAAAAUUUCGUCAUGUCUAUGUUCAUCCAAGUAGGGGAGCGGAUGGAUCUAGAUGCCGAGGUAGGGGAGUAGAUGUAACUGGGUGCCAAGAGGUGCAAGACGGAGGGAGGCGAGGGGAACCUAAACCAAAAUCCCACACUAGAGCAGGCCGACAUCGAUAGCUCCGGCGAGAACGACGGGCAAAACCAGAAGCCAUCAGGCAAGGGGAAGAAUAUAAUACGGGUAGAGUCCCCCAAGGACUACGCCAUGUCUAGGACAGGAGAGGGCAGACUACUAACAGCACAUAUCACUUCUAUGGGAAGGUGAUUCCACACCAACAAGAAGAAGCCAACAUUCUAUAAUUUUUGUAGACAAGGGAACACCAAACCAACAACUAAUGAUCGACCAAAGGAUGAAGAUUCUUCAAGACCCGAUGCCAGGAUGUCGCCAGGAUGUCGGUGGUCUGGUUUAUGAAUGAGGAAGCAGGAAAAUCAAGAAGCGGUAGAAGUUGAUCUAUCCCUUGACUAGCCACAAGGCUUACAGAAUCCUUCUGCUGAGAUGUUGCCAGUUCAGGUGAUCAACAAGGCACUAAUGCUCUACGUGCAAUCACUGUAACAACAGUUUGAGGCAAGUAGUAUAGUCCGUUCGAAGCUAAUCAUGUGCCGUGGGAUUCAUCCACCUUUCGAAAGUCCUACGAAUUUCACUAUUUUUUGGCAUCGACUCCUCUUUAUCGAGCUUGUGACUGUGAGCCCGCUCGACUUUAGCGACAUAACUACCCUCAUGCAAGAAGUUGUAAGUUGAGCAUGUCCUAUAAUGGAUCAGUUCAGUCCACCAGAUUA